GACGAACCGUCCUAACGUUGUUCGGAAUCACUGGGCUUAAAGGGCGCGUAGGCGGGUGCUCAAGUCCGUGGUGAAAUCCUCCGGCUCAACCGGAGAACUGCCUCGGAUACUGGGUGCCUCGAGGGUGGUAGGGGUAUGCGGAACUAUCGGUGGAGCGGUGAAAUGCGUUGAUAUCGAUAGGAACUCCGGUGGCGAAGGCGGCAUACUGGACCACCUCUGACGCUGAGGCGCGAAAGCCAGGGGAGCAAACGGG
rnacentral:rRNA from 1 species